GACGAACGCUGGCGGCGUGCUUAACACAUGCAAGUCGAACGAUGAACUUGGAGCUUGCUCUGGGGGAUUAGUGGCGAACGGGUGAGUAACACGUGAGUAACCUGCCCUGGACUCUGGGAUAACUUCGAGAAAUCGGAGCUAAUACCGGAUAGGACCUUGCACCGCAUGGUGUGGGGUGGAAAGUUUUUCGGUUUGGGAUGGACUCGCGGCCUAUCAGCUUGUUGGUGAGGUAAUGGCUCACCUAGGCGUCGACCGGUAGCCGGCCUGAGAGGGUGACCGGCCACACUGGGACUGAGACACGGCCCAGACGCCUACGGGAGACAGCAGUUAGGAAUAUUCGUCAAUGGGGGAAACCCUGAACGAGCAAUGCCGCGUGAAUGAUGAAGGCCCUUCGGGUCGUAAAAUUCUGUUGUUUGGAAAGAAAAGCAGGAAUAAGAAAUGAUUCCUGUCUGACGGUACCAUUCAAGAAAGCCACGGCUAACUACGUGCCA
rnacentral:rRNA from 1 species